rnacentral:rRNA from 1 species
UACGAAGGGGGCUAGCGUUGUUCGGAAUUACUGGGCGUAAAGCGUGCGUAGGCGGUUCGUUAUGUCUGCUGUGAAAGCCCCGGGCUUAACCUGGGAAUGGCAGUGGAAACUGGCGGGCUUGAGUGUGGCAGAGGGGGGUGGAAUUCCGCGUGUAGCAGUGAAAUGCGUAGAGAUGCGGAGGAACACCGAUGGCGAAGGCAGCCCCCUGGGCUGACACUGACGCUGAGGCACGAAAGCGUGGGGAGCAAACAGG